GCAAACUUGGUCAUUUAGAGGAAGUAAAAGUCGUAACAAGGUCUCCGUUGGUGAACCAGCGGAGGGAUCAUUACUGAAAUUUAUUUACAUUUACCGACGAAUUUACCUGUUGCCUCGCGGUGCUUUAACAUCCACCGCAAAAGGCGUUUAUACGAAUUUUUCUUGUGUUGGUGCUAUCAGGUCUUCAAACCGAAUAAAACCAAAACUUUCAACAAUGGAUCUCUUGGCUCCGGCAUCGAUGAAGAACGCAGC
rnacentral:misc_RNA from 1 species